UGGGGGAUAUUGCACAAUGGGCGAAAGCCUGAUGCAGCGACGCCGCGUGGGGGAUGAAGGCCUUCGGGUUGUAAACUUCUCUUGCUCUGAACAAGGCGCACCAUGGGGUGUGUUGAGUGUAGGGGUUGAUUAGCGCCGGCUAACUACGUGCCAGCAGCCGCGGUAAUACGUAGGGCGCGAGCGGUGUCCGGAAUUAUUGGGCGUAAAGGGCUUGUAGGUGGCUGGUUGCGUCUGUCGUGAAAGCUCAUGGCUUAACUGUGGGUUUGCGGUGGGUACGGGCUGGCUUGAGUGCAGUAGGGGAGGCUGGAAUUCCUGGUGUAGCGGUGGAGUGCGCAGAUAUCAGGAGGAGUACCGGUGGCGAAGGCGGGUCUCUGGGCUGUUACUGACACUGAGGAGCGAAAGCAUGGGGAGCGAACAGG
rnacentral:rRNA from 1 species